rnacentral:misc_RNA from 1 species
AACGCAUAUUGCGCUCUUUGGUAUUCCGAAGAGCAUGCUUGUUUGAGUAUCAGUAAACACCUCAACCUCUUCUUGAUUUUUCAAAAGGAGGGUGGACUUGAGCUAUCCCAACAACCUUUACCGGUCGGCGGGCGGCUUGAAAUGCAGGUGCAGCUGGACUUUUAUCUGAGCUAAAAGCAUAUCUAUUUAGUCCUCGUCAAACAGGAUUAUUACUUUUGCUGCAGCUAACAUAAAGGAUAAUUGUCCUCUUUGCUGACUGAUGCAGGAUUUUACGACACUUUAUGUGUUGUUCAACUCGAUCUCAAAUCAAGUAAGACUACCCGCUGAACUUAA